GGGGGAAUUUUGCACAAUGGGGGAAACCCUGAUGCAGCGACGCCGCGUGAUUUAGAAGGCCUUCGGGUUGUAAAAAUCUUUUCUAUGGGAAGAAAAUGACAGCACCAUAGGAAUAAGGACCGGCUAAUUACGUGCCAGCAGCCGCGGUAAUACGUAAGGUCCGAGCGUUGUCCGGAAUCAUUGGGCGUAAAGGGUACGUAGGCGGGUAAGCAAGUUAGAAGUGAAAUCCUAUAGCUCAACUAUAGUAAGCUUUUAAAACUGCUCAUCUUGAGGUAUGGAAGGGAAAGUGGAAUUCCUAGUGUAGCGGUGAAAUGCGCAGAUAUUAGGAGGAAUACCGGUGGCGAAGGCGACUUUCUGGCCAUAACCUGACGCUGAGGUACGAAAGCGUGGGUAGCAAACAGG
rnacentral:rRNA from 1 species